AACGCGAAGAACCUUACCUGGUCUUGACAUCCACAGAACUUUCCAGAGAUGGAUUGGUGCCUUCGGGAACUGUGAGACAGGUGCUGCAUGGCUGUCGUCAGCUCGUGUUGUGAAAUGUUGGGUUAAGUCCCGCAACGAGCGCAACCCUUAUCCUUUGUUGCCAGCGGUCCGGCCGGGAACUCAAAGGAGACUGCCAGUGAUAAACUGGAGGAAGGUGGGGACGACGUCAAGUCAUCAUGGCCCUUACGACCAGGGCUACACACGUGCUACAAUGGCAUAUACAAAGAGAAGCGACCUCGCGAGAGCAAGCGGACCUCAUAAAGUAUGUCGUAGUCCGGAUUGGAGUCUGCAACUCGACUCCAUGAAGCCGGAAUCGCUAGUAAUCGUAGAUCAGAAUGCUACGGUGAAUACGUUCCCGGGCCUUGCACACACCGCCCGU
rnacentral:rRNA from 1 species